CAAGUUCUGGCUCGAUAUGCUUUUGGGCCGCUCCCCCAGCCUGCACUUGAGAGCAG
rnacentral:ribozyme from 1 species